UCCAGGAGCGGGAGCUGAGCUGUUAGAGAGCUCCCGGGAACGGCUGCUUCCUCAGCCCGGCUCAGGAGCCUCCUCCAGCAGGGCCCUCUCCAGCUCAGGCUUACAUGUUGGCUGACCCGGCUGACCGCUGCCCCCCACCCCCACAGCCACCACUGCUGUCUUCAGUAGCAGCGGCGGCGGCGGCGGCGGCCGCUCCUCUCUCGGCUCUUGGUGAGACCUACCACAGGCCCAGGCCAAGGACCUCUCUGGAAAAGCCACCUUCCGUUCUGAGAUCCCAGUUCCGGACUGGAGCUGCUCCCCUCGAGUAUAGAGAAGGGAGGGAAAAGUCAAGAGAGAAGGAACUCGAGAAGACAGUGGGAGAGAGACGUGCGCACACAGAGGAACAGAAUGAAGGAAAGACACAGACCCAGAAACACCGAGGACUUAUCCACGGACUGAGGAGAGAGCAAACAGGACAGCACAAGAGGAGCACGCCAGGGGGCCACCACUAAGGAGAUAUUUGCAUUCACAAAUAAACUGGCACAGGGAGCGGCCAGAGACACAGCCAGUGGACCCACCUGGAGGCCAGAAAGGAGGCCAGGACUGCGGAGCUGGCGGAGGGACGCAGGGAGAGGCUUCCAGCACAGCUGCAAACCUGGUCCUCGCACAGCAGCCCACCGGGCACUAGCCCCCGCAAAGCUCAGGGGCCUCUCUGCUCGGCUGCAAGAGAUGAUCUCACAGGCCAGGUGGGGCCCAGGCAGUGGGGAGGCUGGAAGAGGUGAAGGAAGCCCCAGGGCUUUGGAGUCCCACUCUGGUAUGCCGGGACACCUCUUGACUCUCCAGCUCCUAGGGACUGACCCACCACACCCAAAGGCACAGGGAGCAUCACUUAAGCACACACCGUCCCAGCCCCCCACCCCUCCAAUCCCCACAUAGACACUGUCUCCGUGUUCUUUCUUCAUCCUACAGACCACAGAGACAGAGCCCCGCAGCCCACCGCAGCCGGCAUGCACAGUCUUCUAAUACUCAGCCCACAAAUCAGCUUAUAGUUGUCAGAUGUGCUGCUUAUCCCAUACCCCGUACCCCCUAACCCCUACCGCACCCAAAACUACACUCCAGCAGCAAGGUCAUGCUCGCACACAUACA